rnacentral:lncRNA from 1 species
AGAUUGACACUGAGGGCAAAAAUGCUGUUAUGAGACUUUGCUUUCUUAAAGCAAGAAAAAACACUGCAGUGACAGGAGGAGCUAACCUGGUAUCAUGUGGAGGAUCUGGUUAUGUCAGAUUUUGGGAUAUAUAUAAGAAGCAACUUCUGGCUGAAUUUUUGGCUCAUAGUGGAGUUGGAUCGAUUAUUAUGUCUACUGAUAAGAUGAAUCGAUACCUUACCACAGGAGAUCUUGAUGGAUGGUUGAAAAUCUGGAAUAUAGAGGCAAAGCACUGGCAUAUUGAAAACUGCCUUUUCCUUCCUAAAAGAGAUACUAAUUUAGUGGAAAGUGAGAUUCAAAAGGAAAUUUCUUUAUUUUCUAAGGAGGAAUCUUGUUUAGACCCAACAGAACAUUCUCUACUUAAUAAGAAAAACAAA